rnacentral:rRNA from 1 species
UUCGCAAUGCCCGAAAGGGUGACGAAGCGACGCCGCGUGUGGGAAGAAGGCCUUCGGGUUGUAAACCACUGUCAGGAGUUAAGAAGUGUAGUGGUGCGAAUAGCGCUACUACUUGACUAAGGCUCCAGAGGAAGCCACGGCUAACUCUGUGCCAGCAGCCGCGGUAAUACAGAGGUGGCAAGCGUUGUUCGGAAUUAUUGGGCGUAAAGAGCACGUAGGCGGUUCUGCAAGUCGGCUGUGAAAGCCUUCCGCUCAACGGAAGAACAGCAGUUGAUACUACAGGACUCGAGUGCGGGAGGGGAGAGUGGAACUUCUGGUGGAGCGGUGAAAUGCGUAGAUAUCAGAAGGAACGCCGGCGGCGAAAGCGACUCUCUGGCCCGUAACUGACGCUGAGUGUGCGAAAGCUAGGGGAGCAAACGGGAUUAGAUACCCCGGUAGUCCUAGCCGUAAACGAUGGGCACUAAGUAGAGGGGUUUU